rnacentral:rRNA from 1 species
CCUACGGGAGGCAGCAGUGAGGAAUCUUGGACAAUGGGCGAAAGCCUGAUCCAGCCAUGCCGCGUGAAUGAUGAAGGCCUUAGGGUUGUAAAAUUCUUUCAGCAGGGAAGAUAAUGACGGUACCUGCAGAAGAAGCCCCGGCUAACUCCGUGCCAGCAGCCGCGGUA